GGCUUAUAUGGUAGUCUGGCAUGGAAAAUCCAUGGCAAAACCCUGAUAUCAUUCAUGUAGUGCUCUGCCCAAAAGAGAGAACUUAAUUGUCUCCAAAGAAGGUUGGUUAUCAUAAGAAGGGAGAGGGAGAUCAUGGGAAGACAAGAUAAUCCAAUCCACCAAACUCAUCACUGUAAAAUUUCAUACACAAGAUACAAAAACACUCUUUUGUUAUCCUCCACCAGUGAAUUCAAAGGGAAUUAAUUUUUAUGGAAUGAAGCAUGUAGAACUAAACUAUACCUCACUCCUUUCUUCUCUCCCCAUUUUAUCCACCUAUAAAAGGACACAGGCCAGUCUUCAUCUGAAACCUUCAGUUGAUUCAAUUGACUUUGCAAGACAGAUCAUCUAUAAACCCUCAGCCAAUGGAACAAUGAGCAAUCCAGUAAGAUGUCACCAGCAACAGCAGAAAUCCACUUGCUCUGUACCAGCAGCAGUAGAAACAGGAAGAAGAUCAGGACAGUCAGAGAGAGAGGGAAGCAAUGGCUAUCUGGAUCCACCCAGAAAAACCAGACAGCUACCUUCCUGGUUUAUCCUGACAGCUAGAGGAAAAACAGGCUCUCACUCCUCCAAAGUCCACCAACUGCCCACAACUCUUCUGUGUUUCAGAAGUUCCUCACCUCCUGAGAGCUUUGGAAUGUUUGCCCUAUCAUUGCCCUGCAGGAUCUUUUUACUUCUUGCUUUUUGCAAAGCUAAUUCUUUACAACAAAAUGGAUAACUAGCAUUUCUGCAACUAUUUUAUGUUCUAAUGAAGUUUAAAUGUUAGACUUUCAGUCCAUUGCAACCAU
rnacentral:lncRNA from 1 species